ensembl:lncRNA
CGAGAAAAGAUGCUCACUGAUCUGCCAUGGUGCGAUGUAACUGCACUUAUUCUUAUUGAUCUGCUGAAGGGAGAAACAACAAUAAAUGGUGCCUACUUCUACAUGCAGACCGCAUUUUACAACAACAGCUCCUGUGGGCUAAUUGCAUUGGAGGGUCUGAAGUAAUUCAAGUAUUACUGGGAGCACGGUGGGUGAAGAGCGUCGUAUUUCACAGCUGAGAAGGAAUAAAUUGACUCUAGGCUUGAGCCUUGAGGGUGGAAAACCAGGAGAAGCACACAGCAGCCAUUCCACUACAAACACCCUGUGACUGUAUUCUUUGGCAUGUGGAGCAUUGGAUGCCUUCACCUUACUCCAUAAGUGGUGGGGGCUGGAGACAGGAGGCUGUAUUCACAAGGAUCUGCUGACUUGGAUGAGCCCUUCUUCAGUGACUGAAAAGCCGCUAUCAGGUCUCCCAGAGCUUUUUCUUCCCAGGCUGAACAGCCCCAGCUCUCUCAGCCUGUCCUCACAGGAUGGAGGCGUUCCAUCCCUUGGAUCAUUUUUGUGGCUCUCCUUUGGAUGCACUCCAACAGGUCCACAUUUCUCCUCUACUGAAGGCUCCACAUCUGGAUGCAGUGCUCCAGCUGAGGCCUCACCAGCACAGAGUAGAGAGGCAG